rnacentral:misc_RNA from 1 species
AAAGUCGUAACAAGGUAUUCGUAGGUGAACCUGCGUAUGGAUCAUUAACGUUUUUUAUUUCUCUAAAAAAAAAGAGAAUAAAAUCUUUAAAAUUCGCACGAUCUUUUAAAACAAAGAUCGUGUCGUACACAAAUGUGCAUCAUUGAUAGCCUCAAUAAUGUGUACUUCAUGCAUCACCAUUAUUGAUGAGCUUAUAAACCUUUCCUUUGUAUAUUAAACAAUAUUAUUAUUGUUAUUGGAAAUGAAAAAACAAAAUUUCAAAAAAAACAGAAUAUAAUUCUGUACGGUGGAUCACUAGGCUCGU